rnacentral:lncRNA from 1 species
AGCCGCGCCCGAAGGCCGUGGUGCCAAACACCCCCAGCGGAAAAAUGGCCAAAAAACGGGUGGGCUAUAGCCUUGGUGGGGGGCGCGGGCGAAGUUCGUCCGCCGGACUCGGAAUGGGGCGAGACUUUGCGAGGGGCCUCGGGGUGCCCUCGGGAAGUCGCGGGCACAGCCGCGCCCAAAAAUAAGUACCCGAAGGUCGUGGUGCCAAAACCCCCCAGCGGAAAAAUGGCCAAAAAACGGGUGGGCUAUAGCCUUGGUGGGGGGCGCGGGCGAAGUUCGUCCGCCGGACUCGGAAUGGGGCGAGACUUUGCGAGGGGCCUCGGGGUGCCCGCGGGAAGUCGCGGGCACAGCCGCGCCCAAAAGUAACCGCCCGAAGGUCGUGGUGCCAAAACCCCCCAGCGGAAAAAUGGCCAAAAAACGGGUGGGCUAUAGCCUUGGUGGGGGGCGCGGGCGAAGUUCGUCCGCCGGACUUGGAAUGGGGCGAGACUUUGCGAGGGGCCUCGGGGUGCCAAAAAUAAGCCGCGGGCAAAGCCGCGCCCAAAAAUAAGCGCCCGAAGGUCGUGGUGCCAAAACCCCCCAGCGGAAAAAUGGCCAAAAAACGGGUGGGCUAUAGCGUUGGUGGGGGGCACGGGCGAAGUUCGUCCGCCGGACUCGGAAUGGGGCGAGACUUUGCGAGGGGCCUCGGGGCGCCAAAAAUAAGCCGUGGGCAAAGCCGCGCCCAAAAAUUAGCGCCCGAAGGUCGUGGUGCCAAAACCGCCCAGCGGAAAAAUGGCCAAAAAACGGGUGGGCUAUACCCUUGGUGGGGGGCGCGGGCGAAGUUCGUCCGCCGGACUCGGAAUGGGGCGAGACUUUGCGAGGGGCCUCGGGGUGCCCGCGGGAAGCCGCGGGCAUAGCCGCGCCCAAAAAAAUUGCCCGAAGGUCGUGGUGCGAAAACCCCCCAGCGGAAAAAUGGCCAAAAACGGGUGGGCAAUAGCCUUGGUGGGGGGCGCGGGCGAAGUUCGUCUGCCGGACUCGGAAUGGGGCGAGACUUUGCGAGGGGCCUCGGGGUGCCCGCGGCAAGUCACGGGCACAGCUGCGCCCAAAAAUAAGUGCCCGAAGGUCGUGGUGCCAAAACCCCCCAGCGGAAAAAUGGCCAAAAAACGGGUGGGCUAUAGCCUUGGUGGGGGGCGAGGGCGAAGUUCGUCCGCCGGACUCGGAAUGGGGCGAGACUUUGCGAGGGGCCUCGGGGUGCCAAAAAUAAGCCGCGGUCAAAGCCGCGCCCAAAAAUAAGCGCCCGAAGGUCGUGGUGCCAAAACCCCCCAGCGGAAAAAUGGCCAAAAAACGGGUGGGCUAUAGCGUUGGUGGGGGGCACGGGCGAAGUUCGUCCGCCGGACUCGGAAUGGGGCGAGACUUUGCGAGGGGCCUCGGGGCGCCAGGAAUAAGCCGCGGGCAAAGCCGCGCCCAAAAAUAAGCGCCCGAAGGUCGUGGUGCCAAAACCCCCCAGCGGAAAAAUGGCCAAAAAACGGGUGGGCUAUAGCCUUCGUGGGGGGCGCGGGCGAAGUUCGUCCGCCGGACUCGGAAUGGGGCGAGACUUUGCGAGGGGCCUCGGGGUGCCCGCGGGAAGUCGCGGGCACAGCUGCGCCCAAAAAUAAGUGCCCGAAGGUCGUGGUGCCAAAACCCCCCAGCGGAAAAAUGGCCAAAAAACGGGUGGGCUAUAGCCUUGGUGGGGGGCGCGGGCGAAGUUCGUCCGCCGGACUCGGAAUGGGGCGAGACUUUGCGAGGGGCCUCGGGGUGCCCGCGGGAAGUCGCGGGCACAGCCGCGCCCAAAAGUAACCGCCCGAAGGUCGUGGUGCCAAAACCCCCCAGCGGAAAAAUGGCCAAAAAACGGGUGGGCUAUAGCCUUGGUGGGGGGCGCGGGCGAAGUUCGUCCGCCGGACUUGGAAUGGGGCGAGACUUUGCGAGGGGCCUCGGGGUGCCAAAAAUAAGCCGCGGGCAAAGCCGCGCCCAAAAAUAAGCGCCCGAAGGUCGUGGUGCCAAAACCCCCCAGCGGAAAAAUGGCCAAAAAACGGGUGGGCUAUAGCGUUGGUGGGGGGCACGGGCGAAGUUCGUCCGCCGGACUCGGAAUGGGGCGAGACUUUGCGAGGGGCCUCGGGGCGCCAAAAAUAAGCCGUGGGCAAAGCCGCGCCCAAAAAUUAGCGCCCGAAGGUCGUGGUGCCAAAACCGCCCAGCGGAAAAAUGGCCAAAAAACGGGUGGGCUAUACCCUUGGUGGGGGGCGCGGGCGAAGUUCGUCCGCCGGACUCGGAAUGGGGCGAGACUUUGCGAGGGGCCUCGGGGUGCCCGCGGGAAGUCGCGGGCACAGCCGCGCCCAAAAAUAAGUGCCCGAAGGUCGUGGUGCGAAAACCCCCCAGCGGAAAAAUGGCCAAAAAACGGGUGGGCAAUAGCCUUGGUGGGGGGCGCGGGCGAAGUUCGUCUGCCGGACUCGGAAUGGGGCGAGACUUUGCGAGGGGCCUCGGGGUGCCCGCGGCAAGUCGCGGGCACAGCUGCGCCCAAAAAUAAGUGCCCGAAGGUCGUGGUGCCAAAACCCCCCAGCGGAAAAAUGGCCAAAAAACGGGUGGGCUAUAGCCUUGGUGGGGGGCGCGGGCGAAGUUCGUCCGCCGGACUCGGAAUGGGGCGAGACUUUGCGAGGGGCCUCGGGGUGCCAAAAAUAAGCCGCGGUCAAAGCCGCGCCCAAAAAUAAGCGCCCGAAGGUCGUGGUGCCAAAACCCCCCAGCGGAAAAAUGGCCAAAAAACGGGUGGGCUAUAGCGUUGGUGGGGGGCACGGGCGAAGUUCGUCCGCCGGACUCGGAAUGGGGCGAGACUUUGCGAGGGGCCUCGGGGCGCCAGGAAUAAGCCGCGGGCAAAGCCGCGCCCAAAAAUAAGCGCCCGAAGGUCGUGGUGCCAAAACCCCCCAGCGGAAAAAUGGCCAAAAAACGGGUGGGCUAUAGCCUUCGUGGGGGGCGCGGGCGAAGUUCGUCCGCCGGACUCGGAAUGGGGCGAGACUUUGCGAGGGGCCUCGGGGUGCCCGCGGGAAGUCGCGGGCACAGCUGCGCCCAAAAAUAAGUGCCCGAAGGUCGUGGUGCCAAAACCCCCCAGCGGAAAAAUGGCCAAAAAACGGGUGUGUUAUAGCCUUGGUGGGGGGCGCGGGCGAAGUUCGUCCGCCGGACUCGGAAUGGGGCGAGACUUUGCGAGGGGCCUCGGGGUGCCCUCGGGAAGUCGCGGGCACAGCCGCGCCCAAAAAUAAGUACCCGAAGGUCGUGGUGCCAAAACCCCCCAGCGGAAAAAUGGCCAAAAAACGGGUGGGCUAUAGCCUUGGUUGGGGGCGCGGGCGAAGUUCGUCCGCCGGACUCGGAAUGGGGCGAGACUUUGCUAGGGGCCUCGGGGUGCUCAAAAUAAUCUGCGGGGCAAGCCGCGCCCGAGGGCCGUGGUGCCAAACACCCCCAGCGGAAAAAUGGCCAAAAAACGGGUGGGCUAUAGCCUUUGGUGGGGGGCGCGGGCGAAGUUCGUCCGCCGGACUCGGAAUGGGGCGAGACUUUGCGAGGGGCCUCGGGGUGCCCUCGGGAAGUCGCGGGCACAGCCGCGCCCAAAAAUAAGUACCCGAAGGUCGUGGUGCCAAAACCCCCCAGCGGAAAAAUGGCCAAAAAACGGGUGGGCUAUAGCCUUGGUUGGGGGCGCGGGCGAAGUUCGUCCGCCGGACUCGGAAUGGGGCGAGACUUUGCGAGGGGCCUCGGGGCGCCAGGAAUAAGCCGCGGGCAAAGCCGCGCCCAAAAAUAAGCGCCCGAAGGUCGUGGUGCCAAAACCCCCCACUGGAAAAAUGGCCAAAAAAUGGGUGGGCUAUAGCCUUGGUGGGGGGCGCGGGCGAAGUUCGUCCGCCGGACUCGGAAUGGGGCGAGACUUUGCUAGGGGCCUCGGGGUGCCAAAAAUAAUCUGCGGGCAAAGCCGCGCCCGAAGGCCGUGGUGCCAAACACCCCCAGCGGAAAAAUGGCCAAAAAACGGGUGGGCUAUAGCCUUGGUGGGGGGCGCGGGCGAAGUUCGUCCGCCGGACUCGGAAUGGGGCGAGACUUUGCGAGGGGCCUCGGGGUGCCCUCGGGAAGUCGCGGGCACAGCUGCGCCCAAAAAUAAGUACCCGAAGGUCGUGGUGCCAAAACCCCCCAGCGGAAAAAUGGCCAAAAAACGGGUGGGCUAUAGCCUUGGUUGGGGGCGCGGGCGAAGUUCGUCCGCCGGACUCGGAAUGGGGCGAGACUUUGCGAGGGGCCUCGGGGCGCCAGGAAUAAGCCGCGGGCAAAGCCGCGCACAAAAAUAAGCGCCCGAAGGUCGUGGUGCCAAAACCCCCCACUGGAAAAAUGGCCAAAAAAUGGGUGGGCUAUAGCCUUGGUGGGGGGCGCGGGCGAAGUUCGUCCGCCGGACUCGGAAUGGGGCGAGACUUUGCUAGGGGCCUCGGGGUGCCAAAAAUAAUCUGCGGGCAAAGCCGCGCCCGAAGGCCGUGGUGCCAAACACCCCCAGCGGAAAAAUGGCCAAAAAACGGGUGGGCUAUAGCCUUGGUGGGGGGCGCGGGCGAAGUUCGUCCGCCGGACUCGGAAUGGGGCGAGACUUUGCGAGGGGCCUCAGGGUGCCAAAAAUAAGCCGCGGGCAAAGCCGCGCCCAAAAAUAAGCGCCCGAAGGUCGUGGUGCCAAAACCUCCCAGCGGAAAAAUGGCCAAAAAACGGGUGGGUUAUAGCCUUGGUGGGGGGCGCGGGCGAAGUUCGUCCGCCGGAGUCGGAAUUGGGCGUGACUUUGCGAGGGGCCUUGGGGCACCAAAAAUAAGCCGCCGGCAAAGCCGCGCGCAAAAAUAAGCGCACGAAGGUCGUGGUGCCAGAACCCCCCAGCGGAAAAAUGGCCAAAAAACGGGUGGGCUAUAGCCUUGGUGGGGGGCGCGGGUGAAGUUCGUCCGCCGGACUCGAAAUGGGGCGAGACUUUGCGAGGGGCCUCGGGGUGCCUGCGGGAAGUCGCGGGCACAGCCGCGCCCAAAAAUAAGCGCCCGAAGGUCGUGGUGCCAAAACCCCCCAGCGGAAAAAUGGCCAAAAAACGGGUGGGCUAUAGCCUUGGUGGGGGCGCGGGCGAAGUUCGUCCGCCGGACUCGGAAUGGGGCGAGACUUUGCGAGGGGCCUCGGGGUGCCAAAAAUAAGCCGCGGGCAAAGCCGCGCCCAAAAAUAAGCGCCCGAAGGUCGUGGUGCCAAAACCCCCCAGCGGAAAAAUGGCCAAAAAACGUGUGGGCUAUAGCCUUGGUGGGGGGCGUGGGCGAAGUUCGUCCGCCGGACUCGGAAUGGGGUGAGACUUUGCGAGGGGCCUAGGGGUGCCAAAAAUAAGCCGCGGGCAAAGCCGCGGCCAAAAAUAAGUGCCCGAAGGUCAUGGUGCCAAAACCCCCCAGCGGAAAAAUGGCCAAAAAACGGGUGGGCUAUAGCUUGGUGGGGGGCGCGGGCGAAGUUCGUCCGCUGGACUCGGAAUGGGGUGAGACUUUGCGAGGGGUCUCGGGGUGCCAAAAAUAAGCCGCGGGCAAAGCCGCGCCCAAAAAUAAGCGCUCGAAGGUCGUGGUGCCAAAACCCCCCAGCGGAAAAAUGGCCAAAAAACGGGUGGGCUAUAGCCUUGGUGGGGGGCACGGGCGAAGUUCGUCCGCCGGACUCGGAAUGGGGCGAGACUUUGCGAGGGGCCUCGGGGUGCCAAAAAUAAGCCGUGGGCAAAGCCGCGCCCGAAGGUCGUGGUGCCAAAACCCCCCAGCGGAAAAAUGGCCAAAAAACGGGUGGGCUAUAGCCUUGGUGGGGGGCGCGGGCGAAGUUCGUCCGCCGGAGUCGGAAUGGGGCGAGACUUUGCGAGGGGCCUCGGGGUGCCCGCGGGAAGUCGCGGGCACAGCAGCGCCCAAAAAUAAGCGCCCGAAGGUCGUGGUGCCAAAACCCCCCAGCGGAAAAAUGGCCAAAAAACGGGUGGGCUAUAGCCUUGGUGGGGGGCGCGGGCGAAGUUCGUCCGCCGGACUCGGAAUGGGGCGAGACUUUGCGAGGGGCCUAGGGGCGCCAAAAAUAAGCCGCGGGCAAAGCCGCACCAAAAAAUAAGCACCCGAAGGUCGUGGUGCCAAAACCCCCCAGCGGAAAAAUGGCCAAAAAACGGGUGGGCAAUAGCCUUGGUGGGGGGCGUGGGCGAAGUUCGUCCGCCGGACUCGGAAUGGGGC